rnacentral:rRNA from 1 species
GACGAACGCUGGCGGCGUGCUUAACACAUGCAAGUCGAACGGAAAGGCCCUGCUUUUGUGGGGUGCUCGAGUGGCGAACGGGUGAGUAACACGUGAGUAACCUGCCCUUGACUUUGGGAUAACUUCAGGAAACUGGGGCUAAUACCGGAUAGGAGCUCCUGCUGCAUGGUGGGGGUUGGAAAGUUUCGGCGGUUGGGGAUGGACUCGCGGCUUAUCAGCUUGUUGGUGGGGUAGUGGCUUACCAAGGCUCUGACGGGUAGCCGGCCUGAGAGGGUGACCGGCCACAUUGGGACUGAGAUACGGCCCAGACUCCUACGGGAGGCAGCAGUGGGGAAUAUUGCACAAUGGGCGGAAGCCUGAUGCAGCAACGCCGCGUGCGGGAUGACGGCCUUCGGGUUGUAAACCGCUUUCGCCUGUGACGAAGCGUGAGUGACGGUAAUGGGUAAAGAAGCACCGGCUAACUACGUGCCAGCAGCCGCGGUGAUACGUAGGGGGCGAGCGUUGUCCGGAUUUAUUGGGCGUAAAGGGCUCGUAGGUGGUUGAUCGCGUCGGAAGUGUAAUCUUGGGGCUUAACCCUGAGCGUGCCUUCGAUACGGGUUGACUUGAGGAAGGUAGGGGAGAAUGGAAUUCCUGGUGGAGCGGUGGAAUGCGCAGAUAUCAGGAGGAACACCAGUGGCGAAGGCGGUUCUCUGGGCCUUUCCUGACGCUGAGGAGCGAAAGCGUGGGGAGCGAACAGGCUUAGAUACCCUGGUAGUCCACGCUGUAAACGGUGGGUACUAGGUGUGGGGUCCAUUCCACGGGUUCCGUGCCGUAGCUAACGCUUUAAGUACCCCGCCUGGGGAGUACGGCCGCAAGGCUAAAACUCAAAGGAAUUGACGGGGCCCCGCACAAGCGGCGGAGCAUGCGGAUUAAUUCGAUGCAACGCGUAGAACCUUACCUGGGUUUGACAUGGAUCGGGAGUGCUCAGAGAUGGGUGUGCCUCUUUUGGGGUCGGUUCACAGGUGGUGCAUGGCUGUCGUCAGCUCGUGUCGUGAGAUGUUGGGUUAAGUCCCGCAACGAGCGCAACCCUUGUUCACUGUUGCCAGCACGUUAUGGUGGGGACUCAGUGGAGACCGCCGGGGUCAACUCGGAGGAAGGUGGGGAUGACGUCAAGUCAUCAUGCCCCUUAUGUCCAGGGCUUCACGCAUGCUACAAUGGCUGGUACAGAGAGUGGCGAGCCUGUGAGGGUGAGCGAAUCUCGGAAAGCCGGUCUCAGUUCGGAUUGGGGUCUGCAACUCGACCUCAUGAAGUCGGAGUCGCUAGUAAUCGCAGAUCAGCAACGCUGCGGUGAAUACGUUCCCGGGGCU